rnacentral:tRNA from 1 species
GUCCGGGUGGCGGAAUAGGUAGACGCGCUAGCUUGAGGUGCUAGUGCCCGCAAGGGCAUGGGGGUUCGAGUCCCCCCUCGGACA